rnacentral:rRNA from 1 species
CCUACGGGUGGCUGCAGUGAGGAAUAUUGGUCCAUGGACGAGAGUCUGAAUCAGCCAAGUAGCGUGAAGGAUGACUGCCCUAUGGGUUGUACACUUCUUUUAUAUGGGAAUAAAAUGUUCCACGUGUAGGAUUUUGUAUGUACCAUAUGAAUAAGGAUCGGCUAACUCCGUGCCAGCCGCCGCGGUAAUACGGAGGAUCCGAGAGUUAUCCGGAUUUAUUGGGUUUAAAGGGAGCGUAGGUGGAUUGUUAAGUCAGUUGUGAAAGUUUGCGGCUCAACCGUAAAAUUGCAGUUGAAACUGGCAGUCUUGAGUACAGGAGAGGUGGGCGGAAGGCGUGGUGUAGCGGUGAAAUGCUUAGAUAUCACGAAGAACUCCGAUUGCGAAGGCAGUUCACUGGACUGCAACUGACACUGAGGCUCGAAAGUGUGGGUAUCAAACAGGAUUAGAUACCCCAGUAGUC